GUAUGGUUGGUUUAAGAAAAACGUUAGUUUGUGGGGCUAGAGAUGCUUUUAGUUGGAGUGCUGUACA
rnacentral:tRNA from 1 species